rnacentral:rRNA from 1 species
AGCAGCCAAUGUCCACUCUGUUCUAUUGAUUGUGAAAGUAUACGACAUGCUUUGUUCGAGUUUGCACGUGUGAAGGAAAUUUGGAUGACUCUAGGCAUGCAAGAUGUAAUUGAAGAUGCAUGUAUGCUCGACGAGGAGGGUCAUUCAAUUCUGGGAGGCUUGCUCCUCGAUACAUCAGCGAUGGCUCCUUUGCUACCUGAAGUGCCGUGUAACCACUUAAUUGCUACUACUAUGUGUUAUAUAUGGUGGGAACGUCGACAGGUUACCCAUGAUAAGCAGAUCCAAAAGCCACGCAACACAGCUCAAGCCAUAUCCGCUUUAGUGACAAAUUAUUCAAGGGUUCACAAGAAAACUCAGACAGGAAUAGUAAGACAUGGAUGGCGGAAACCGAAGGAAGAAUAUGCCAAGGUAAACAUUGAUGCAUCUUUUAAUGAUGAAGUUGGUUCAGCGGGAUGUUGUGGUAUUCCGUUCGUGGAUGACGCUGCGACAGCUGACGCUCGAGCUCUUCUAAACGGAUUAAUUCUUGCAGGACAACUGGGAUGUAACAGGAUCAUAGUCGAAUCAGACUGCAUGGAGGUUGUCGAUGUAAUGCAGCAUGGCGGCAACUCCAUAGGACCAGCAGCAGUGAUCUACGAGGAGUGUUCCUUUCUAGUUCACAAUUUUGAUGAUGCAAUAGUCAAUCAUUGUCCUAGGGAGGCUACUAGGGUUGCUGAUUUGUUAGCUAGCCAACUGGUAGAUCCACAAAACAUUGUCUGGAAUGUUGAUCCACCGGAUUUUUUAGUUAAUGUACUGGCGCAUGAUGUAUCGUUAUUUCCGCAGUUAAUAUAA